CCCCAUACCGGGAACAGUUGUACACCCGAAGUCGGUGAGGUAACCGUGAGGGGCAGCCGCCUAAGGUGGGAUAGAUGAUUGGGGUGAAGUCGUAACAAGGUAGCCGUAUCGCAAGGUGCGGCUGGAUCACCUCCUUUCUAAGGAUAAGGAACUGCGCAUUGGUCUUGUUUAGUCUUGAGAGGUCUUGUGGGGCCUUAGCUCAGCUGGGAGAGCGCCUGCUUUGCACGCAGGAGGUCAGCGGUUCGAUCCCGCUAGGCUCCAUUGGUGAGAGAUCACCAAGUAAUGCACAUUGAAAAUUGAAUAUCUAUAUCAAAUAGUAACAAGAAAAUAAACCGAAAACGCUGUAGUAUUAAUAAGAGUUUAUGACUGAAAGGUCAGAAAAUAAGGGUAAAGUAAUUAGGGCCCCCCGUGGAUUCCUUGGCCCUUGGGGGCGAAAAAGGACGUUACCAAACACCAUUUUCCUUGGGGUGGUUGUAGGUAACCAAUGAUCCGGGAUUUCCGACGGGGAAAACCCCAGGGCCCGGGAACUUUUUCCCAAGCCCGGGACCUUAUCCCAAGUCCCCGAACCGAUUCCCAACCCCGAAUUUUAUCUUAGUUCCUCUUUUUUAUCUAGUAAGGGAAGGCUUGAGGGAGGCGCUGUUGUUGUGUGUUACUCUGCAUGGCGAGAGCAGAUAUAAGUUUUUAUAAUGAUGUCAUAGAUAUCGUGGAGAGCGCCGACGACCCCUCUCAAUUAGAGUAGAUGAUACACGAAGAAGAAUAUAAGAGAGUAUGCACGCGCGGCGAUACUGUAUGGAAUCCUAUAAGACGAUGUAGUGACGAGUCCACUAGUACGUACAUAGUAAUGAUGUGUCAUAUCUCGG
rnacentral:misc_RNA from 1 species